GACGAACGCUGGCGGCGUGCCUAAUACAUGCAAGUUGAGCGAUGAAGAUUGGUGCUUGCACCAAUUUGAAGAGCAGCGAACGGGUGAGUAACGCGUGGGGAAUCUGCCUUUGAGCGGGGGACAACAUUUGGAAACGAAUGCUAAUACCGCAUAACAACUUUAAACAUAAGUUUUAAGUUUGAAAGAUGCAAUUGCAUCACUCAAAGAUGAUCCCGCGUUGUAUUAGCUAGUUGGUGAGGUAAAGGCUCACCAAGGCGAUGAUACAUAGCCGACCUGAGAGGGUGAUCGGCCAAAUUGGGAAUGGGACACGGCCCAAACUCCUACGGGAGGCAGCAGUAGGGAAUCUUCGGCAAUGGACGAAAGUCUGACCGAGCAACGCCGCGUGAGUGAAGAAGGGUUUCGGAUCGUAAAACUCUGUUGGUAGAGAAGAACGUUGGUGAGAGUGGAAAGCUCAUCAAGUGACGGUAACUACCCAGAAAGGGACGGCUAACUACGUG
rnacentral:rRNA from 1 species